UCUAUGACGGGUAUCCGGCCUGAGAGGGUGAUCGGACACACUGGAACUGAGACACGGUCCAGACUCCUACGGGAGGCAGCAGUAGGGAAUAUUGCUCAAUGGGGGAAACCCUGAAGCAGCAACGCCGCGUGGAGGAUGAAGGUUUUAGGAUUGUAAACUCCUUUUGUUAGAGAAGAUAAUGACGGUAUCUAACGAAUAAGCACCGGCUAACUCCGUGCCAGCAGCCGCGGUAAUACGGAGGGUGCAAGCGUUACUCGGAAUCACUGGGCGUAAAGAGCGCGUAGGCGGAAUAGUCAGUCAGGUGUGAAAUCCUAUGGCUUAACCAUAGAACUGCAUUUGAAACUACUAUUCUAGAGUGUGGGAGAGGUAGGUGGAAU
rnacentral:rRNA from 1 species